rnacentral:tRNA from 1 species
GCCAUUGUAGCUCAGCUGGUAGAGCACCUGAUUCGUAAUCAGUAGGUCGCAAGUUCAAAUCUUGUCAAUGGCACCA